rnacentral:rRNA from 1 species
UACGUAGGGUGCAAGCGUUGUCCGGAAUUAUUGGGCGUAAAGAGCUCGUAGGCGGUCUGUCGCGUCGGCUGUGAAAACCCCGGGGGCUCAACCCCCGGGCCUGCAGUCGAUACGGGCAGACUAGAGUGCGGUAGGGGAGACUGGAAUUCCUGGUGUAGCGGUGAAAUGCGCAGAUAUCAGGAGGAACACCGAUGGCGAAGGCAGGUCUCUGGGCCGAUACUGACGCUGAGGAGCGAAAGCGUGGGGAGCGAACAGG